GACGAACGCUGGCGGCGCGCCUAACACAUGCAAGUCGAACGAGGUUGAGGGGAGCUUGCUUUUCUCGACUUAGUGGCGAACGGGUGAGUAACGCGUGAGGAACCUGCCUCAAAGAGGGGGACAACAGUUGGAAGCGGGUGCUAAUACCGCAUAAUAACCGACACCACAUGGUGUAAGUUUGAAAGAUGGCUCUGCUGUCACUUAUAGAUGACCUUGCGGUGCAUUAGCUAGUUGGUGGGGUAAUAGCCUACCAAGGCCAUGAUGCAUAGCCGACCUGAGAGGGUGAUCGGCCACAUUGGGACUGAGACACGGCCCAA
rnacentral:rRNA from 1 species